rnacentral:rRNA from 1 species
UGGGCAGUUUGACUGGGGCGGUCGCCGCCCAAAAGGUAACGGAGGCGCUCAAAGGUUCUCUCAGUACGGUCGGAAAUCGUACGUAGAGUGUAAAGGCAAAAGAGAGCUUGAUUGCAAGACAUACAGGGCGAGCAAGGAUGAAAAUCGGACUUAGUGAUCCGGUGGUUCUGCGUGGAAGGGCCAUCGCUCAACGGAUAAAAGCUACCCUGGGGAUAACAGGCUUAUCUCCCC